GCCCGGGUGGUGAAAUUGGUAGACACAAGGGACUUAAAAUCCCUCGGUAUAUUAUACCGUGCCGGUUCGACUCCGGCCCUGGGCACCA
rnacentral:tRNA from 1 species